AUUCUUGAAGACAGCUCGACCGUGAUGGAGGAGACAGGCAUUUAGAAUAAGCAUGAAAUAAAGGUGGCUGUUAAGGGGUCAGCUCCCCUCACCAAAGUCACUUUUGAUUUACUUACAAAAGUUUUCUUAAGAUUUCUUCAGAACCCAGGUCAAAAGGCUGUGGCAGGAGGCCAGGCAGAUCACAGCGUCCAUGCCUAGAUGCUCCCUGACCCCCAGGAACCAGAAGUGCUGUCUCCUGAAGGCUCUGGAAACCCGGAAUCAGCCUACGAGGCACCAGGGCCACCUUGGAGGGUGGAAAUGAGGACCUCAGGCCCCAGAGGGCAUGCAGGCGAGGUGAAGUUCAGGAGAGAUUUUAAGCCGGGUGCAGUGGCUCACGCCUGUAAUCUCAGCAUUUUGGGAGGCCAAGGCAGAUGGAUAACCUGAGGUCAGGAGUUCGAGACCAGCCUGGCUAACACGGUGAAACCCCGUCUCUACUAAAAAUACAAAAAUUGCCUGGGUGUGGUGGUGCAUGCCUGUAAUCCUAGCUACAUGGAAGGCUGAGGCAGGAGGAUUGCUUGAACCUGAGUGGCAGAGGUUGCAAUGAGCUGAGAUUGUGCCACCGAGCUCCAGCCUGGACUACAAAGUGAGACUCCAUCUCAAAA
rnacentral:lncRNA from 1 species